rnacentral:rRNA from 1 species
CACCUGCCGGCGACCGGCGCACGGGUGAGUAACACGUAUGGAACCUGCCCGCCACAGGGGGAUAACCCGGGGAAACCCGGCCUAAUACCCCAUGCCGCCCGGACCGGGCAUCUGGUCCGGGCGAAAGGAGGAAUCCGGUGGCGGCUGGGCAUGCGGCGCAUUAGCUUGACGGCGGGGUAACGGCCCACCGUGGCGACGAUGCGUAGGGGUUCUGAGAGGAAGGCCCCCCACACUGGAACUGAGACACGGUCCAGACUCCUACGGAAGGCAGCAG